CUCCCUUUUCGUCAAAAUUUUUCUGCCGCGAGCCUUACUCCCUCUCCGCCAAAAUCCUUCCUCUCUGCCGAAACCUUCCGCGCUCCGCCUCCCUCUCUGCCUCCGUGCUCUUCCUCCCUCUCUACCUCAGUGCUUCGCCUUCAUCUAUGCCAUACUCCGCCUUCCUUGCUCCGCUUAUCAUUGCCCAAAGUCGCUGCAGGAUAGCUACACCCUUGCACUCCACAAGGCCCUUAUGUUCUUCAAUGCCUAGUGAUGCGAGUCCUCAUAGAUGGCCUCUUCGGAAAAAAAGGUUUUGACGGUAUAAAAAAUGUUCCUUUGCCCCUGAUUUCUUUUGUAGCAAGGUUGAUUCCGAAACACAACAAUGUAUUGUGGAGGGGGAACUCCGGCUUGAGGGAUGGCUUCUCCAAUCAUUCGUAUGGGAAGAGUCUCAUCCGUGGAUUCUACGAUGCCGGUGACGCCAUCCAAGGUCGGACCUUUUAUGAGGCAGAGGACAUGGAGGAUGUGGCUAAGGCAGCGGUGGAGUUCUCAACCAGAGGUGGUGGGCGAGCAUGCUAAGCGAAUAGAGAACCCAGGGGAAAGUGUCGGAGAUGGAGGAGAAGAAAGACAUAUUAGAGUUUAACAAGAGGCAUGCGGAGGGAAGGAACAAGAUCGAUAAACAGAAGAACUUUCAACUAAAGAUCUAGAAAUUGAAUCCUGUUAACACAAUUUGCUACGUUCAGAUCUUUGGAAUUGACAUGGACACACAAGAUACUUUGCCAUCAGUCUUGUUAUUUUUUGACAGACAAAGGUUCAUUUUCAAAGCUGCGGAGGUGAUAAUGAUAACAAUUAAAAAAGGAUAUUUCUACUUAAAAGUUGGGGGCAUCAAGCUGAUCAGACUUUAAUUGUAAAAGAACGGAAGGUCAGACUAGUCUCAAGAAUGUUAGCUUGUGAGAAUCAAGUGGUCUAUUAAUGUUGGGACUAUUUUAUGUAUUCCAAUGCAAGAGAGUUAGAAGAACCAACACAACAAUCAGAAAUCAAUGUGGACUUUGAACUACUUACACUACUUCAAAGAGGCAUAAAAGGAGAGGAAAGGUUUGCUGCUCAUAAUUUGUUUAUCUUAUCAACCUGUAACACAAUUAUUCUUAUUGGAAAGAAAAAGUAUAUGACAUGUAUUUAUUUUAUUUUUAUAUGCCCGUAACACAAUUAUUCCUUUAGUGAUAAGUGUACGAUAUUGAUAA